rnacentral:rRNA from 1 species
GACGAACGCUGGCGGCGUACUUAACACAUGCAAGUCGAACGGAAAGGCCCUGCUUUUGUGGGGUGCUCGAGUGGCGAACGGGCGAGUAACACGUGAGUAACCUGCCCUUGACUUUGGGAUAACUUCAGGAAACUGGGGCUAAUACCGGAUAGGAGCUCCUGCUGCAUGGUGGGGGUUGGAAAGUUUCGGCGGUUGGGGAUGGACUCGCGGCUUAUCAGCUUGUUGGUGGGGUAGUGGCUUACCAAGGCUUUGACGGUUAGCCGGCCUGAGAGGGUGACCGGCCACAUUGGGACUGAGAUACGGCCCAGACUCCUACGGGAGGCAGCAGUGGGGAAUAUUGCACAAUGGGCGGAAGCCUGAUGCAGCAACGCCGCGUGCGGGAUGACGGCCUUCGGGUUGUAAACCGCUUUCGCCUGUGACGAAGCGUGAGUGACGGUAAUGGGUAAAGAAGCACCGGCUAACUACGUG